AGGGACAAAGUCUGUCUAUUCUAUUGCAUCAUUCUUCUGGAACCUUGAUAAUAGCCAAUUCUACUUCCUUAACAGCAUCAUUGCUUGCAGUUGGCAAGGACUAGAGAGAGAAAACAAGGUCACACUGCUAGUAAGGUGUGGUUUCAGGAUUCAACUUCAGUAAAUCUAACUCCAAAACUGUGCUCUUUUCUGCUAUUUUGUAUAUUUCGCUACUGCUAUUUCAAACAUUGGCCUUCAACUCUUAAAAGACCACCAGGAAAAUCUGUAACCAGGCAAUGGACUAUUUCAUAUAAUAGAGUUUCUUGCUCAUGUGUUUAAGGAAUGGCUUGGUCAGCUCUGAUAAAAGACUUCCACUGAGUUCAGGUAAUUUCACCUGUACCAAUUUUGGACUUUGGUUGAGGACAGCAGAUACAGGGAACAUUUACUUUUCAUGGAGGAAAUGGAAGUUCCUAGAGAGAACUAAGACCGAAUGGAUGAAGAUCUGUAGUUAUUUUGGACCUUGACAUUGAGGAUGGAAGCUGAGUGCUAAAUUCUUGGGGCUAUUAAAGGUGUGUGCCUCUUUGCUGGCAAUAGACAGCUUUCCUAUCAGUCCUGGAGGGCUGAACUCUGUACUUCUUUUAUGACAGGGCAAAAUAAACUUCAAUUUUAUUUUA